CACUUCUUCAUACCUGCAUAUCUGGAGGACAUGCAGUUUUCAGUUUUGCGGUUAAUAAUCUUUCACGGAAAUCUGCAUCAGAGACCCCAACAGUGACCUGCGGCAGUCACCAGCCUGUAUCAGCGAUGGAGAGGCAGAUCACUCAAGCAAUUCUAUUGUGUAAGUCUUCACAGGCAUGAAUGCAUCAGCAUUUUUACACACAACAUGCUCAAAUAUAAUAUAAAUGUUUAUCUAAAUAAUUUCAGGUUGGUUUGUCUCUGUUCUGAAGAGGACCAGUGGAGAAGAAGUAGAGUUGAGAGUCAGACCAGGAGACAACAUCACUCUAAACUGUGAUUGUACAUAUAAAAGUGGGCACACAAUUACGUGGUUCAGAAACUGUUCUCAUGAACACCAGCCUCCUCUCAUACUCACACCUCAGGAAAUGUGGAAUAGAGUUCUGCCUCGGUAUUCUCUGAUAUGGAACCCAACUAAUAAUUCUAAUGACCUGUUUAUUCAGAACAUGAGUGAAUCUGACAUCGGGCUGUAUUAUUGUGCAUUGGAGUUGAAAAAAGUAACUGAUGAUAAACAAAUAGCACAGAGAACAGACAUUCAUUUCGGAAGGAAAACAACCAGGGUGUUACUUGAAGUUUUGCAUCCAACCCCCCUCUUCAAUCCUCCUCACUCAGACUGUGUUCAGUGCUGGAUUCUGCUGGUCAGUCUGUGUCCAGUUUCUUCUCUCAUUUGCUCCCUGAUCUCCUCUGCUUGUGUUUACUGCUUCUGUCUCAAGAAAGGUUCUGUCGAAUCUGAAACUGGUCAGAACAGGGCCAGCUUCAGAGGGGUGAGAAGAAGAGAACAGAUUGGAGAAGAAAAUCUGUGUUAUGCAUCGCUGGAUAUCCAAAGUAAAGGUCACAGAGUACAAAGACCAUCAAAACAGAGGUCUCAAAAAUCUGACUUCAGUACCUACGCAGAGGUCAAAAUUAAGUGA
rnacentral:lncRNA from 1 species